rnacentral:rRNA from 1 species
CGGGGGAGCAAGCGUUGUUCGGAUUUACUGGGCGUAAAGGGCGCGUAGGCGGCCACCGCAAGUCGACUGUGAAAUCUCCGGGCUUAACCCGGAAAGGUCAGCCGAUACUGCGGGGCUAGAGUGCAGAAGGGGCAACUGGAAUUCUCGGUGUAGCGGUGAAAUGCGUAGAUAUCGAGAGGAACACCUGCGGCGAAGGCGGGUUGCUGGGCUGACACUGACGCUGAAGCGCGAAAGCUAGGGGAGCGAACGGGAUUAGAUACCCCGGUAGUCCUAGCCUUAAACGAUGAAUGCUUGGUGUCUGGGGUUUUAUAGUCCCCGGGUGCCGUCGCUAACGCUUUAAGCAUUCCGCCUGGGGAGUACGGUCGCAAGACUG